GAGUUUGAUCAUGGCUCAGGAUGAACGCUGGCGGCGUGGAUAAGGCAUGCAAGUAGAACGCCCCGCAAGGGGAGUUGCGAACGAGGUAGUAAUACAUAGGUACAAACCCCCGAGUCAGGAAUAACCUACCGAAAGGUAGGCUAAUACUUGAUAGUCCCGCAAGGGUAAAGAUUUAUCGCUUGGGGAUUGGCCUGUGCAGUAUCAGCUAGUUGGUAGGGUAAUAGCCUACCAAGGCAAUGACGCUUAGGGGAGGUGAGAGCCUGGCCCCCACCGAUGGUACUGAGACACGGACCAUACACCUACGGGUGGCUGCAGUCGAGAAUCUUCCGCAAUGGACGCAAGUCUGACGGAGCGACGCCGCGUGACUGAUGAAGUCUUUCGGGAUGUAAAGGUCUUUUAUGAAGGAGAAAGUUUUGAUAGUACUUCAUGAAUAAGGGGUUGCUAAACUCGUGCCAGCAGCAGCGGUAAUACGAGUACCCCAAGCGUUAUCCGGAAUUAUUGGGCGUAAAGGGUAUGUAGGUUGUUAUGUUAGUCUUUUGUCAAAGCCUUCGGCUCA
rnacentral:rRNA from 1 species